rnacentral:rRNA from 1 species
UGGCUCAGGACGAACGCUGGCGGCGUGCUUAACACAUGCAAGUCGAACGAUGAAGGCCGUGCUUGCACGGCUGGAUUAGUGGCGAACGGGUGAGUAACACGUGAGUAACCUGCCCUUCACUCUGGGAUAACCUCGGGAAAUCGGGGCUAAUACCGGAUAUGAGUGUCCACUGCAUGGUGGAUGCUGGAAAGUUUUUCGGUGAAGGAUGGACUCGCGGCCUAUCAGUUUGUUGGUGAGGUAAUGGCUCACCAAGACGAUGACGGGUAGCCGGCCUGAGAGGGCGACCGGCCACACUGGGACUGAGACACGGCCCAGACUCCUACGGGAGGCAGCAGUGGGGAAUAUUGCACAAUGGGCGAAAGCCUGAUGCAGCGACGCCGCGUGAGGGAUGACGGCCUUCGGGUUGUAAACCUCUUUCAGUAGGGAAGAAGCGAAAGUGACGGUACCUGCAGAAGAAGCGCCGGCUAACUACGUGCCAGCAGCCGCGGUAAUACGUAGGGCGCAAGCGUUGUCCGGAAUUAUUGGGCGUAAAGAGCUUGUAGGUGGCUUGUCGCGUCUGCCGUGAAAAUCCAGGGCUUAACUCUGGACGUGCGGUGGGUACGGGCAGGCUAGAGUGUGGUAGGGGAGACUGGAACUCCUGGUGUAGCGGUGAAAUGCGCAGAUAUCAGGAAGAACACCGAUGGCGAAGGCAGGUCUCUGGGCCAUUACUGACACUGAGAAGCGAAAGCAUGGGGAGCGAACAGGAUUAGAUACCCUGGUAGUCCAUGCCGUAAACGUUGGGCACUAGGUGUGGGCGACAUUCCACGUUGUCUGCGCCGUAGCUAACGCAUUAAGUGCCCCGCC